GGGGUGUGCAGGUGUGUGCAGGUGUGUGCAGGAAAAGGUAACACGGGAUUUGCUGGCACUUGAGGAGGUGGAGCGGCGGAGCGGGGAGAACUGGGUUUUGGGGUGAGGUGGAGUCUGUCAUUUGCUGCCCGUGUGACUUCAGCACUUGACUUAACCUCUCAGCCCUGCGGCCUCAGUUAUAAAAUAUUUGACCGUGACCGUCCGUAUCCCUGGGCUGUGGAGAGGAUGACAUGGGGAGACAGGUGUGCAAAGCCCCUGCUCACUGUCAUGCUCGUAAACGUCAGCCUCCCCUCCCCGCCUUCAGGGGAAGAAGACACGCACGCCUCAGUUCUGUGCAGCACACGCGUGGCUCUGUCAUGUACCAGUACUGUAACAUGUUUUCAAGUGUUGA